rnacentral:rRNA from 1 species
UACGGAGGGUGCAAGCGUUAUCCGGAUUUACUGGGUUUAAAGGGUGCGUAGGUGGGUUGGUAAGUCAGUGGUGAAAUACUUUCGCUUAACGAAGGAACUGCCAUUGAUACUAUCAAUCUUGAAUGUAGUGGAGGUAGGCGGAAUGCGUCAUGUAGCGGUGAAAUGCUUAGAUAUGACAUAGAACACCAAUUGCGAAGGCAGCUGGCUACACAAAUAUUGACACUGAGGCACGAAAGCGUGGGGAUCAAACAGG